CAAAAAAUCACGUAUGGGAUAUGCACGUCUAGAGCAAAAACUUCAACAAGACACCCAAUCAGAUCAACCGUUGGGUCGUCAUAUCGUGUAAAUAAGGACGGAAUUGUUGAUAACGAAAAUGUUCAAAAAGUAAUAGAACUUUGUGAGAAUCUCGAAAAAAGUUCAGAAAAUCAAGAGGACAACAAAGCUAGUUGCAGGGACAUUCUCGGUAAAGUGUUUAAUGUUCCUGAAUAUUUUUGUCGCGUGAGGG